rnacentral:misc_RNA from 1 species
AUUAUUAAGUCUAUUAAAUUAAAAAUAAAAAAUAAAUCAAAAGUGAUAACACAGCACAGGUGUCAGAGCACAGUUGAUAAAGGCAUAAUGUUUAUAGAUCAUCUUGGCUUUAAUUUCGCCACAAUCUUCUCCAUUUAUCAAUUCUUGCAUCAGACUAAUCGAAUUUACAACCAAAUUAGCUGAAAAGAAUGAGACAUUUGACCUUAGCUCUAAUUUGACCACCCACUAUUUCUAAUUCUAAGUAAUAAUUCCCUUCCCUCCACUAUUACUAGGAUAUUUUAUUUUCUUUAAUUUAAAAAUUUUUCAAUAUAUAAACUUUCAAAAUUCUAUAUUUUCUUAAUUAUUUUUAUUCAAUCUUUCAAUAUAUUAAAAAAUAUUUAUAAACUACUUUGUAAAUAAAAGUAUUGUACAAAAUAUUUCUAACAGACAUUUUAAAGAAUUUUAUCCAAUUAUAGUUAUCAUUACAUAACAUAAUAAU